CCAUCGGUGGUUCAGUGGUAGAAUGCUCGCCUGCCCGGGUUCGAUUCCCGGCCGAUGCA
rnacentral:tRNA from 1 species